UGGGGAAUAUUGGACAAUGGACCAAAAGUCUGAUCCAGCAAUUCUGUGUGCACGAUGACGUUUUUCGGAAUGUAAAGUGCUUUCAGUUGGGAAGAAAAAAAUGACGGUACCAACAGAAGAAGUGACGGCUAAAUACGUGCCAGCAGCCGCGGUAAUACGUAUGUCACAAGCGUUAUCCGGAUUUAUUGGGCGUAAAGCGCGUCUAGGUGGUUAUGUAAGUCUGAUGUGAAAAUGCAGAGCUCAACUCUGUAUUGCGUUGGAAACUGCAUGACUAGAGUACUGGAGAGGUAAGCGGAACUACAAGUGUAGAGGUGAAAUUCGUAGAUAUUUGUAGGAAUGCCGAUGGGGAAGCCAGCUUACUGGACAGAUACUGACGCUAAAGCGCGAAAGCGUGGGUAGCAAACAGGAUUAGAUACCCUGGUAGUCCACGCCGUAAACGAUGAUUACUAGGUGUUGGGGGUCGAACCUCAGCGCCCAAGCUAACGCGAUAAGUAAUCCGCCUGGGGAGUACGUACGCAAGUAUG
rnacentral:rRNA from 1 species